AUCGUUUAAUCUGCUGAUUAUUUCCUCGAUAAAUUGAUUAAUUGUUUUGUCUAUAAAAUGUCAGUCAACUCUUAGAGCUCAAGGUAACGUCUUCAAAUGUCUUGUUUUGUCCGAUCUACAGCAGUCCAAAUCCCCCCAAAAUUCAGUUCAUCAGGUAUGACACAGAAAAGCUUCAAAUCCUCACAAGCUGCAGCAAAUAUUUGGCAUUUUUCCUAAAAAAAAUGAGUAAAAAGUUUUUUUUCAGGUAUCAAACUAGUUGCCGAUUAAUUGUCUGUCGAUCGACUCAUUGAUUAAUCGACUCAUCGUUGCAGCUCUACUUAAUUUUAUGAUAAAAUCCAGAUUAAUUCAUCUGUAACUAUGCCAUAAAGUUAGGGUUGGGCAUUGACAACAUCCAUUUCCAAAAUUCCGAAUCCAAAGGAAUCAUUAAGAAAUUGUAAUUUCGAUUCUGCUUAUCGGUACGUAAACGCGCUAAAUAUCUGUCAGGACCUGUCUACGUCAUGCAUUAACGCAACAGCAUGUCGGUUUGUUUACAUACGAGCAGGCAUGGUCAACAUCACAACAGUGCUGACAGAAAGUUGGACCACAGUAAACGCUCUGAAGUGUGGCUUCACUUUAUGAAACUAAACGACAAGCCGAAGUGCAACGCAUGUGGGAAGAUAAUUAGCUAUAAGUCAGGUUGAACAUCCACUCUGACCAAAGAUUUAAGCUAGCACGACGUCGCUCUUCUAGCCCGAGUGUGUCAUCAGCCGGUGUUAGCACUUCCAGUACAGUCAGGGAUAUCAAGCCGUGAUACACCGUCUAUGUAUGAACCACUGAGGGGAUGAUGAAGCAGAGAGCUCAUCAAGACACUCCCCCCAACCCUGAGUCUUGACCCUCAGGUUCCUAGAUGCUCCAGCCACGUCACGACUCCAAUUGACCUCUUUCAUCCCUCCCCUCAUCCCCUUUCAUCCUACAGUACACAACCUCGUCCAACCUCCGGCUCCUGUUCGUCCCCCAGGGCGAUCAACCCUCUUCGUCCUGCUCCUCUACCCCAAUCAUCCCACCGCAAUUGACCCUCAUCCAAUUCUUCCCAAAUCUUCUUGCCAAUAAACUAUUCUUUUAAAUACC